GCUCUAUUGAAAUUGGAAUAUUUCAAAUAAUUUUCUCUAAAUUUGUUUAGGAAAUCAUUUUCUUCUGCAUUUAUGGGAAAAUGUUUGAUUUCUUGCUUUCCUUUUUCUUCAUUGUUUUUUCCCGUUGAAAUUGGGAAGUAAAGUGAGUAUUAGAUUUUACCUUCUUAAAAUGGAAAAUUGUGAGACCAUUAUGUCUGAAAUUUUUUAAAGAUGUUUCUGUUUUUGCUUGAAAAUAGUUCUUUUCUCUGAAAUUGUUUGGAAGAAACUUAUGGCGCAAGCUAAGGAGGAAGCCGAAUUUGGGAAGAAGACAAUGAUAUAUUAAUUUAAUAAAAAGAGAUAUAUGACCAAAUAAGUAGCUAUGUCAGCAACAAUAUAAAACUUCCAAGCAUUUUUUCCGUUCCAGCUGGAGUUUCAUUAGAAGUAGGGGCAUUUUUAACAACUUUGCUAAUUACAAGAGUGUUUGUGUUCUCAUAAGUAUCGUGGAGUUAAAUAUAAACCAUUUUUGUAAGUAGAGGUCAAAUUUUGUCCUUCUCCCAUUAGUAUAAAUCACGUAGGAGUGAGAUCUUUGAAAAAUAAAGUUAAGUACCUUGUGCUUUUCUGUGUCUUUUAGGAGCCUCACCUAGAAGAGCUGUAUUACAUUUUCCCAAGGAAAAUCAGGAAGAGAUUUCAUCGAAUAGUACUCUAAAGUUGCAUUUUAAGUGAGAAUAACUAGCAAAAGAUGAAGUGAAUCAAAAUUGCAGACUAUCUGAGAAUUUUCUUCUUUGAAAUCAGAUGUACCAUUUAAGUGAAAGGAUUAGGAGAGGAAAAAAAAUGUUGGAAACAAUGUACAGUUGGACAAAAACAGUUCGUGAUCUGCUGUGAUCAUCGGUUAUCGUUGUCGGAGAGUGCCUGAGAAAGUGAACUCCCUGAGUAUAUAUUUGAUGCCACAUGUUUUAUUCCUACUUCUAGAAAUUAAGUGUGCAAUAGGAGUCGAAUCUCGAUAAAAAAAGGACAACUCGGUGAACUAAAGCUCUCGAUAUGCCGCAGGGUCGGGGGAAGGGCCCCACUACAAGGGUGCAUUGUACGCAACCUUACCUUGCAUUUCUUCCGGAGGCUGUUUCCAAGGCUUGAAGUAGGACCUUUUGGUCACAUGGAGGCAACUACACCAGCUACUCCAAUGCUCCCCUUCAAGAGUGAAAUCUCGAUACACUUGUAAUUUUACUGUAAAUUUAGACCCGUCUAAAUGAAGUUUCUUCCGUUACGUCUUAAAAUAAAUGGUUUCUUUGAUUGAAAUAACGGUUUAACGUUUGCUCAUCUACCUUUAACUAAUUAAUCAUGGCACUGCAUAGUUUGCAUUAGUGAUAUUUUAGAAAGUAUGUUUACCGUAGUUUAAUAAUUACUGAAUCACGAAGCUGCAUAGUCUGCUAAUUGAUAGAUAGUAUGUUAUAUCCUUCCUUGCCCUUUUUAAGGUAAGCUCAUGUGUUUAACCUUUGUCUAUUCUUAUCAUUAAGUUUUUCGCUGUGCAUUAUGUUGAAAAUGCUGUGAUGAAAGACAAUUCCGAAGGACUGCCUACUUUUGCAAUUUAGUUAAGAGUGACUGGCUGUUUAUUCUCUUUGCUUACAGGGGUUGUGAAUUUUCUAGCUUUGGACAAACUGAAGUUUGGAUGUGACCAUAAUUCUUCUUAAUGUUGAUAUAUGGGUAAUAUUUGCUGAUUUUAAUGUUCUGCUAGCACCAAGGAAGUUAAACAUAUGUCUACUUCAUGGUUGUUCUGUUUGAUACUCUAAUGAAGAAGUAGGGUGAUGUCAUUUCUAGUUAGCGAUUCGUCCUUAUAAUAUUGUAUGUGAUAUAGAUAAUAAAAUUCUUUGUUCCUCGGAUGCUAAUUCAACCUACCUUAUUUAUAUAUGAAGCCCUAAUGUAGAGAAAAUAUCAUAAUCUCUUUGUAACUAUCGUCAUAAUUAAUUUCUUGACUGCAGUUCGUUCUCCUAAUUUUUUGCUCAUUUCUUGCUUGUACCUCUUUCUGAUAUUCUUGAAUAAGCUCUUGAAAGUAAUAAUAUUUUACUUUGAUAUUUAACGCAUGUUUGAAUUGAAAUUUUUGAAAUGUUGAUGCUCACUGAGUAUGCCAGUUUCUUCUGUAAUAACAAUUUUAUUUCUAGAAAAGAAAUGACUUGGUAGCUUCCUCUUUUAGACGGUGAAGUUCAUGAGUCGGUAUUCUUAUAUUAUUAAGAGCAAAGAGAUCAUUGAACUUAAAAGUGUGAGCGAACUAUAGAUUUAAAGAUAUUUUAGAGUAAUAAUUGAGUCAGAAAAGGUGAAGGAAGGAGUACUACCAUUAGCCAUACAGGCUGAUCGAUCUGCAGUUGGAAUUCGCAAACAAGGAUAGAGAGUCCUUGGAUGAAGUUGAUUUAGAAGACAGUAUUGAUAGAGUGGCCAUUGAGGGAGGUUUAUCUCCUAAGCAAAUUGACACAAUUAAAGCAGCACUUGGGAAGAAGAAGAAAAAGCAAAAGAAGGCAAGUGCUAAUACAAUGCUUACCAGAAGUCGAUCUAAAAAUAACUUAGGAUGAAAAUAUUAUUAUGGAACAUAAGAUCAGUUAAUACAAAGAAGGCUUUUUUAAGACUAAUCACAAUGCUAAGGAGACACCAUUUUUAGUUUUUUAGUCUCAUGAAACCUUUCAGUUCACUGUUUAUCAUGUAGUAAAUCAAAUACAGAAGAUGCUGACUCAAUUUUUCUGAGCAGCUACAUAGGGGGUAAGAGUAGACAUUGGGUAAAGUGGCAAAAUAUGUGGGCACCUGAGGAGGAAAGAGGGUUAGGUUUUUUUAAUGUUGAAGGAUGUCUCUAUGUCUUUGUUUUGCAAGUUAUGGUGGAAUUUCAGAACCAAAAAGUCAUUUGGGUGGACUAUAUGCAUAACAAGUACUCUAAGAAAGAAUAUCCUACUAUGAUUCUGUGGAAGAAAGGAGGUGGGGGUUCAUAAGUAUCGAAGAAAAUGUUAGAGGCUAGAGAUUUGAUAGAGCAUCAGAUAUUAUGGAAAAUCAAGAACGGAGAAUCUAGCAUUGUGGACAAUAUAUAAUUUUGGAAUAUUAGAUCAGCACAAUCUUAAGACUCUUUUGAGAGAGUAAUUGAUCUAAAAAGGAUACAUCGUUAGUCUUAUAUUACCCUUAUGGAAUCUUUUCAAGGUCCACAUGAAUUAGAGAAAUAUAGGAGAAAGAUUUGUAUGGAAAAUGCAACUAUAAAUUUCUCGGAUAAAUAUGGGUAUUUUGGAAUUAAGACUGAAAAGGGUAAUAUUGUCAAACACUUAUCAACAAUUGACAAUUUAAUUUACUCAUAUUUCUAACAUCCAAAGGGUGGUCAUAACCUCAAUAUAUGCUAUAUGUAGUGCAUUGGAGAGAUUAGAACUUUGGGAAGAAUUGGAAAGAUGGGCAGAUGAAGUAAUAGUGCCCUGUAUAGUAUGUGGGGAUUUCAAUGCGAUUCUGGACCAGUCAGGGAAACUUGGGGGGUUACCUGUCACUCAUCAGGAAACUAUGGACUUUGCUCAAUUUAUUAAUAACUUCUCCUUAAGUGAGAUUAGAUUUACAGAGAGUUCAUACACUUGGUGGAAUGGAAUAAUUGAAGAGGAAAGUAUUUUCAAAAGACUUGCCAGAGUUUUUGGGAAUACUUUUUUUUUCUAGGAAUUUGCAUAAAGUGAAGUGCAAUAUUUUCUUAGGGAGGGAUCGGAUCAUGCUCCUUUACAUGUGCUAUGUAGAUCCUUGCAGGUCCCUAUUGUGAAACCUUUUGGAUUUCUUAACUUCUGGACUAAACAUCAUUCAUAUAAAGGAGUGGUAGAAAAGCUGUGGGAGUAUGAAAUAGAAGGAUCACCUUUCUUUGUAUUUAAUGAAAAAUUAAAGAAGUUAAAGAAAGCUUUAUCUUUAUGGAGUAAGAACACAUAUGGAGACUUCUUACAAAACUUAGCCACCUUGGAAGAUUUAGUAAGAAUCUAGAAAUUAAUCUUUUUGAAAAAAAUAGAGAAGAACUUAGAAAGGAGGAAGGAGAGUUGUAGAAAUUCCAGAGGAUAGAGGAGGACUACUAGAAAUAGAAAGAUAGCAUGCAAUGGUCGAAAUAUGGAGAUAGGAACACCAAGUUUCUCCAUGCAUAUGUAAGAGGAAGAAAAAAGAAAUUAUUGAUUCAGAAAAUAGAGAAUGAAUAAGGAGAAUAUUUUGAGAAUUGGCAAGAUAUUGGAGAGAAGGCAAUGAGAGUUUUCCAAGAGAAAUUCAAGGACAGCUAAAAGUUACUCAAUGAUGAACAUUAUUCCUACUUUAAUAAGUGAAGAAGAACCUGAAAAUAUGUCAAGAUAACUAGAAAUAGAAGUGGUGAAAGAAGUUGUUUUUGAUUUAAACAAGGAUAGUGCUUGUGGUUGGGAUGGUUUUUCAGGGGAAUUCUAUCAGGCCAGCUGGGAAAAUCAUAAAAAAGGAUUUGAUGAGAAUGAUAAUGGAUCUUUUCUGUGGAUAUGAACUGCCAAGUUAUGUCAUUCAUACCAAUUUGGUGCUCAUCCCUAAGAAGGAACAAGUAAGUAUUUAGACUUAAGACCUAUUAGUUUGAGUACUUUUGUUAAUAAGAUAAUUUGAGAAGUUAUACAUGGAAGGCUGGUUGAGGUGCUGCCCAAAAUUCUCUCUAAUAGUCAAACUGGUUUUAUGAAAGAAAGAAGUAUUGCGGAAAAUAUUUUGCUUGCACAGGAGAUAAUUAGAGAUAUUAAUUAAAAAAACAAGCAUCACAAGGUGGUUAUCAAAUUAGACAUGACAAAAGCUUAUGAUAGGGUGUCAUAGAUAUAUUUGAAAAAGGUUAUGAGAAAAUUUGGUUUUGGAGAAAGAAUGAUAGAUAUGAUAUGGAGAAAUUUGGUUUUGGAGAAAGAAUGAUAGAUAUGAUAUGGAGGCUGAUAUCUAAUAACUGGUAUUCUAUACUAGUUAAUGAAAAAUCUUAUGAUUUUUUUGCAUCUAGUAGAGGGCUAAAGCAAGGGGUCCCCUAUAUCCCACAUUGUUCAUUAUAGUAGUUGAGGUACUGGUAAAAGGUCACAAGAUAAUUUAUUGAAUUUGGGCUACUUAAAUGGAGUGAGCAGAUUAAUCAUUUAUCAUAUGCUGAUGACACUAUUAUAUUCUUUCUAGGAUAGAAGAAUUUAGUAAAAAGAUGAUAAAACUUUUGAGGGAAUAUAAGAAGGUAUCAGGAUAACUAUUUAACUUAUCAAAGAGCUUUUUAUACCUUCAUGAAAAGGUUUCAAUUAUGGUGGGUAUCAAAGAUAUUUUUAUACUUCAAGUAUCUUUGAUUUUGGUAUUAUUAAGUAUGUUAAUUUCUAGUAUAUCUUCUUGUUUUAUUACUAUUCCUUAUCUUAUGUUAGAUUGCUUUAUUUGAGCCGAGGGUCUAUCGGAAAUAACCUCUCUAUCUCACGUUGAGGAAGUGGUAUGGACUGUGUACACUUACCCUCCCCAGACCCCACUUGGUGGGAAUACACUAGGUAUGUUGUUGUUGUUGUAGUUGACAGCUUAACCUAUUUUUCAUCAACCAUGGCAAGCAAUGACCUUUCUUUGAUUGCUCUACAAAUCUUCACUUGUGAAAAUUAUAAAAUUUGGACACUGAAGAUGAAGUCUUAUCUUGAAGCUUAUGAGUUAUGGGAAAUUGUAAUGGAAGAAUCACCUUUACCACCACUUCUUCAAUAUCCUACUUCUGUCCAAUUCUUAGUUUUUUCAGAAGAGUAAAUAGAGAAAGCAAAGCCAAAAUUAUAAUCUAAAAUCCAGUUGCAGAUUUUACCUUCUCUAAAGUCUUUGCAUGUGAGACAAUGAAAGAAGUUUCGGAGAAAAUUGAAAAGGAGUAUUAAGGAAGUGAACGAGGAAGACAAAAUUAGAUCUUGAAUCUGAAAAUGGAUUAUGAAUCUCUUAGAAUACAAAAGGAUGAGACUAUCACUAAGUAGGCGUUUGGUCAUGAAUAUUAUUCAUUGUUUUCUGGAAUAUGUCUUCACUUUAUUUUGGAAUAGUUGUUUGGCCAUAAGAUAUAAAUAUCUCAAAAUACGUUUUCACAAUAUUUGAAUUUUUGUGUUUUCACUAUUUUUGGAUUCACUUUUUGCACUUUUUAGUUUAUUUUUUUUGGAUUCACCCUUUGCACUUUUUAAUUAAUAAUUUUUUUUUUAAAAAUGAUAUUUUUUUUGUUUUCAUAAAAUAACCCAAUUUUCAUAAACUCUAAUUUUUUUUUCUUAUUUUGAUAUUUUAUAUUUUUUUACUCCAAAAAUACCCUAUUUUUAUAACACUAUGGCCAAACACAACUCCAACUCUAUUUUCAAUUUUAAACAAUACCAAAUAAAGUCAAAAGAAAAUUAGAUUGUCAAAAAUAAGUGAAUAUGUUUUUAGUUUUCAUGGCCAAACGAGUCUAAGUAUUUUUCCUGGAUCUCUUUGAUUGUCGAUAGAAUUAGGUUGCUUGGUGAAGAUUGUAAGGAUAAUAGAAUAGUUGAAAGAAUGCUUGUGACUAUUCUUGAGAGACUUGAGUCCAGAAUUUUCACUUUAGAAGAUUCUAAAGAUCUCGCUACCAUCAGUGCUGCAGAAUUGAUAAGUGCUCUUCAAGAAUACGAGCAAAGAAGAGCUUUCAGACAAGACAAGAUAAAGUUGUUGAAGAUAUUUUUAUACAAACCACCAAAAAAAAAGAAAAGUUAGAUUAUCCUCCUUGAAAAUAUUGCAAAAAAAAAAACACAAUUCAAAAAUUUUUGUUGGUGGACAUCUGGAACAAUAUGUGGAAACUUCAAACAAACAUGUCAUGUCACAAAAGUUUGCAAGUUCAAAGAUCAAAACAACUAACAAGCAUUACUAAUGGAACAAUAAAGUGCGGAGGAUCAUCAGAAGUAAGGAGGAAGGAGAUUUGGAUGCUGCAUCUGUUACUGCUACAGUUUCUAGAAUAAUUAGUUGUUUAGUUAUAGGAGGAGUCUAGUAACUGGUUUAGUAGAAUAUUAAUCUUUUAGUUUUAGUAAGAGUCUAGUACUUUAGUUAUACGAGGAGUCUACAACUUUGUUUAUGUGCCUAAAUAAAGACUUAUAAUUAAUAAAAUUAAUAUAAGAAUUUUUCAUCCAUAUUUUCUAUUUUAUUGUUUGUCAUUCUUUCUAGAAAAACAUAACGGAAAAUAACAUUCCAAUGAAGAAGAAAGCAAUAGAGAAAAUGGGAUUCCAUUUUAUAGUUACUUUGACAAUGUCUAUUCUUAAUUUUUUUUUUCUUAUACGCACAGAUUCAAGAAUCAAGAAGAACAAAAAAGGGAAAGAUUUAAGCUUUGGGAGCUAAAAGGGGCAAAGGGCGUUGCUUUUAAUCUUUUAUGGUAAAUUAUACAGCGACGAGAAGGGGUGAAGGCAAAGUUGGAGAUGUGUGCUACCGUGAAAUAGGGAAAAAUCUCAUUUGUUUUAGUUGAAAUUAGGAAACUUGAAGUAAGAGCUCUAUUGAAAUUGGAAUAUUUCAAAUAAUUUUCUCUAAAUUUGUUUAGGAAAUCAUUUUCUUCUGCAUUUAUGGGAAAAUGUUUGAUUUCUUGCUUUCCUUUUUCUUCAUUGUUUUUUCCCGUUGAAAUUGGGAAGUAAAGUGAGUAUUAGAUUUUACCUUCUUAAAAUGGAAAAUUGUGAGACCAUUAUGUCUGAAUUUUUUUAAAGAUGUUUCUGUUUUUGCUUGAAAAUAGUUCUUUUCUCUGAAAUUGUUUGGAAGAAACUUAUGGCGCAAGCUAAGGAGGAAGCCGAAUUUGGGAAGAAGACAAUGAUAUAUUAAUUUAAUAAAAAGAGAUAUAUGACCAAAUAAGUAGCUAUGUCAGCGACAAUAUAAAACUUCCAAGCAUUUUUUUUCCGUUCCAGCUGGAGUUUCAUUAGAAGUAGGGGCAUUUUUAACAACUUUGCUAAUUACAAGAGUGUUUGUGUUCUCAUGAGUAUCGUGGAGUUAAAUAUAAACCAUUUUUGUAAGUAGAGGUCAAAUUUUGUCCUUCUCCCAUUAGUAUAAAUCACGUAGGAGUGAGAUCUUUGAAAAAUAAAGUUAAGUACCUUGUGCUUUUCUGUGUCUUUUAGGAGCCUCACCUAGAAGAGCUGUAUUACAUUUUCCCAAGGAAAAUCAGGAAGAGAUUUCAUCGAAUAGUACUCUAAAGUUGGAUUUAAGUGAGAAUAACUAGCAAAAGAUGAAGUGAAUCAAAAUUGCAGACUGUCUGAGAAUUUCCUUCUUUAAAAUCAGAUGUACCAUUUAAGUGAAAGGAUUAGGAGAGGAAAAAAAAUGUUGGAAACAAUGUACAAUUGGACAAAAAAAGUUCGUGAUCUGCUGUGAUCAUCGGUUAUCAAUUGCCGGAGAGUGUGCGGAGGUGCACUCCCCGAGUAUAUAUUUGAUGCCACAUGUUUUAUUCCUACUUCUAGAAAUUAAGUGUGCAAUAGGAGUCGAAUCUUGAUAAAAAAAAGGACAGCUCGGUGCACUAAAGCUCCCGAUAUGCGCAGGAUCGGGGGAAGGGCCCCACCACAAGGGUGCAUUGUACGCAACCUUACCUUGCAUUUCUUCCGGAGGCUGUUUCCAAGGCUUGAAGCAGGACCUUCUGGUCACAUGGAGGCAACUUUACCAGCUACUCCAAUGCUCCCCUUCCAAGAGUGAAAUCUCGAUACACUUGUAAUUUUACUGUAGAUUUAGAUCCGUCUAAAUGGAGUUUCUUCCAUUACAUAUGAAAAUAGGUGGUGUCUUUGAUUGAAGUAAUGGUUUAACGUUUUCACCUCUACCUUUAAGUAAUUAAUCAUGGCACUGCAUAGUUUGCAUUUGGG
rnacentral:lncRNA from 1 species